rnacentral:rRNA from 1 species
UCAAGUUAUUAAGGGUGCAGGGCGGAUGCCUUGGCACUAGGAGCCGAUGAAGGACGUGAUAAGCUGCGAUAAGCUUCGGGGAGUUGCACGUAAACUUUGAUCCGAAGAUUUCCGAAUGAGGAAACUCACUUAGAGUAAUGUCUAAGUAUCAUUAAGUGAAUACAUAGCUUAAUGAGGGGAACUCAGGGAACUGAAACAUCUAAGUACCUGAAGGAAGAGAAAGAAAUUCGAUUCCGUAAGUAGCGGCGAGCGAACGCGGAUUAGCCCAAACCAAUAAAGUUUUCUUUAUUGGGGUUGCGGACAUAUCAUAACGAAGA